GCCUCUGUAGCUCAGCUGGUUAGAGCGCUGCACCGGAAUCGCAGGGCCGUAGCCGGCCCGUAGGUUCAAUUCCUACCAGAGGAC